rnacentral:rRNA from 1 species
GAUGAACGCUAGCUACAGGCUUAACACAUGCAAGUCGAGGGGAAACGACAUCGAAAGCUUGCUUUUGAUGGGCGUCGACCGGCGCACGGGUGAGUAACGCGUAUCCAACCUGCCCACCACUUGGGGAUAACCUUGCGAAAGUAAGACUAAUACCCAAUGAUAUCUCUAGAAGACAUCUGAAAGAGAUUAAAGAUUUAUCGGUGAUGGAUGGGGAUGCGUCUGAUUAGCUUGUUGGCGGGGUAACGGCCCAACAAGGCAACGAUCAGUAGGGGUUCUGAUAGGAAGGUCCCCCACAUUGGAACUGGGACAAGGACAAAAUGCCUACGGGAGGCAGUAGUGAGGAAGAUUGGACAAUGGACGAGAGUCUGAACCAGCCAAGUAGCGUGCAGGAUGACGGCCCUAUGGGUUGUAAACUGCUUUUAUAAGGGAAUAAAGUGAGUCUCGUGAGGCUUUUUGCAUGUACCUUAUGAAUAAGGACCGGCUAAUUCCGUGCCAGCCGCCGCCGUAA